GACGAACGCUGGCGGCGUGCUUAACACAUGCAAGUCGAACGGAAAGGCCCUGCUUUUGUGGGGUGCUCGAGUGGCGAACGGGUGAGUAGCACGUGAGUAACUUGCCCUUGACUUUGGGAUAACUUCAGGAAACUGGGGCUAAUACCGGAUAGGAGCUCCUGCUGCAUGGUGGGGGUUGGAAAGUUUCGGCGGUUGGGGAUGGACUCGCGGCUUAUCAGCUUGUUGGUGGGGUAGUGGCUUACCAAGGCUUUGACGGGUAGCCGGCCUGAGAGGGUGACCGGCCACAUUGGGACUGAGAUACGGCCCAGACUCCUACGGGAGGCAGCAGUGGGGAAUAUUGCACAAUGGGCGGAAGCCUGAUGCAGCAACGCCGCGUGCGGGAUGACGGCCUUCGGGUUGUAAACCGCUUUCGCCUGUGACGAAGCGUGAGUGACGGUAAUGGGUAAAGAAGCACCGGCUAACUACGUG
rnacentral:rRNA from 1 species